rnacentral:piRNA from 1 species
UCCUCUUCAGGUUAGAACUACAUACAGC